GAUGAAGAACGCAGCGAAAUGCGAUACGUAGUGUGAAUUGCAGAAUUCAGUGAAUCAUCGAAUCUUUGAACGCACAUUGCACCUCUCGGUAUUCCGGGAGGUAUGCCUGUUCGAGCGUCAUUUGUACCCUCAAGCUCUGCUUGGUGUUGGGUGUUUGUUCCGCCUCUGUGUGUGAACUCGCCUCAAAACAAUUGGCAGCCGGCGUAUUGAUUUCGGAGCGCAGUACAUCUCGCGCUUUGCACUCAUAACGACAGCGUCCAAAAGUACAUUUUACACUCUUGACCUCGGAUCAGGUAGGGAUACCCGCUGAACUUAAGCAUAUCAAUAAGCGGAGGA
rnacentral:misc_RNA from 1 species